UAGAAACUACAGUUGGAUCGAGAAAUGGACGUCUGAGAUUCGUCCACGUCAUCAUGAGUUAAAAUUUAACUCCCAGUAACUCCCAGUAAAAUUUUAACUCAUGAGUGAAUUUGCGAGUUAAAUUUUAACUCAUGGUGACGUGGACGAAUCUCGGACGUCUAUUUCUCGAUUUAACGGUAGUUUCCACUA
rnacentral:pre_miRNA from 1 species